UAUGUGUUUAUUAACUACCAAAGCAAGCAAAAUAUAUUAGAGAAUUUAAAAUAUUAUAAGCUUUAAUGGCAAUUUCUUACUCUGCAAAGUCUGUUCUAGCUACUUUUUUCAUCUUCGCCAUUGUUCUAUCUCCAUACUUACCAUGUGAUGCAGCCAAAGAGCCAAUUAACAGACCUUAUUGUCCAGCUUGCAACUGUUGCAAGGUUGAGCCACCACCCCCAUGUUGCUAUUGUGCUUGCUCUGUCAUCACCGAUCACCCUGAAAAUGCGACGCCGUAAUCAAAUAUAUACAUAUAGGAAGUUAUUUAUAUGUGUGCCAUGCAAUAAAGCAUUUUAAACAUGUGCCAGUGUUUUGAACUAUACACUACUUGUAAUUUUUUCAUAAGAGAUGCAAGUUAAAAGUCAUAUGAUGUUUUAAUUUAUUGAUAUAGUGUGUAUUUGGUUUUGCUUAUUUA